AAAAUUUGCCAUCUCAAAUGUUGUAGAUGUAGUUCAUAUGAGCAUGAAUAUUGGAGCUAAAAUUUGGUGCCAAGUUUUUGGGAAAAUUCGGCCAAAUCCAAAGGGUGGAUUUUUGGGUUCUUGUUUGACUUGUUAAAAGUGUUUUCAAGUGACUUUUGGAACCCCUAUGUACCCUAGUUUGGUUAUAUGUUAUUUCCCUAAAGUUUGAAUGGUUUUGGGAUGUUUUGGGUGAAAAAAUGUGCAUGGAAAAAUUUUGGGUUUUUCAUGAGUGUUCUUCAUUGUUCUUGACAUUUUUGCCAAGAACAAAAAGGUUUGUGUUUUGAUUCAAAGUUUUGAUUUAUUUCAUAAAGUUUUUGUUUUAUGUUUAUCAAAUGAUUUAAUGUGUUAGAUAUUUGUUUAAAUGGUGUAAGAGAUGUAAGAGAUAUUAUGGUGGGUGUGAAAGGAUUAAUUUCCUUUCACACACACCACUUGCAUCACUUGCAUGCUUUAUGUCAAAACUCACAAAUCAACACACACAUCACCCCUUUUCUCUUCCAAAACCGGCCCUCCCUCAAGUGGGAGUACUUUUGGGGCUUUUAUGCAAUUACAUAAAGUUUUGAUACUUUUGUGUAUUUGCACUUUAGCCCAAAAGUUUACGUUUUUACGUUUAGGUCCAAAAAUGCUAAAGGACAAAUUGUUUUGCUCCUUUAAUGAAGUUUUUGCAUUGUUUACAUUUUGGGUUCUAGUUGUAAUUACAUGAAGUAGUGGACUUUUGUGUUUUUACAAAGUGACCCCAAAGUUUUGCAAUAUAGCCCAAAAGUUGAGGUUAAUUGCUUUAUGGCCCAAAAAGUUGUGGUUAUUGCAUAUUGGCCCAAAUUAAGUAGAGAACAAAAUUGUUUUGUCUCUUUAAAUG
rnacentral:lncRNA from 1 species